GUGGGGAAUAUUGCGCAAUGGCCGCAAGGCUGACGCAGCGACGCCGCGUGGGGGAUGAAGCAUUUCGGUGUGUAAACCCCUGUUGCUCGGGACGAACAAGCCUUUUCGAGGGCUCUGACGGUACCGAGUGAGGAAGCACCGGCUAACUCCGUGCCAGCAGCCGCGGUAAUACGGAGGGUGCGAGCGUUGUCCGGAAUCACUGGGCGUAAAGGGCGCGUAGGUGGUCUGCUAAGCGUGCGGUGAAAGCCUGGGGCUCAACCCCAGGUCUGCCGUGCGAACUGGUGGACUUGAGCACUGUAGAGGCAGGUGGAAUUCCGGGUGUAGCGGUGGAAUGCGUAGAGAUCCGGAAGAACACCGGUGGCGAAGGCGGCCUGCUGGGCAGUAGCUGACACUGAGGCGCGACAGCGUGGGGAGCAAACAGGAUUAGAUACCCUAGUAGUCC
rnacentral:rRNA from 1 species